UAGUUACAGCCCGAUCCCCCUUAAAUGUGGCCGCCCGGUGAUAUACACCCACCAUUCCCAAGCACUUCCUCAUACGGGCUGGAGAUGCAGGAGGAAGCGACAACAACCAGGAAUGGAGGUUCCACGCCCAGUGCCUUGUCGGCCAAGCAAAUUAGCGGCAACGGAUGAGAUGUGAUUCUGGAAUUCCUACAUUGUUGCCAGCCUGUAAGAAGAUGAUCGCCCCCCCCCCCCCACACACACACACGCUCGACGUUACUUUAUCGUUUAAUUUCAAAGAUUUUAUGUACUGUUGGUAUGAUAAUUUUGGGCUGUAUGCAGAUAUGUACUACAGCCAAUGAUAAUUUGAUCCAUGUAUUUAUGGAGCCUGAAGAAAACAGGCAUCGAAUAACUAUUUUUCUAGUCGCAUUUUUAAAUUUUACAUGUUGAACUUAUCAGGUGUAUUAUUACUAAAAUGUAUUGUUUUUAUCGAUCAUAUAUAUCAGCAUAUUUUUCUGUAUUUAAAUAUCAAAAAGCUUCGUUAUACGGAGCUUUAGACAAGUACAAAUAUAUUCAUUGCAUUCUUAUUUGAUAAUAAAGUUUUAUAAACUAUA